rnacentral:rRNA from 1 species
UACGUAGGUGGCAAGCGUUGUCCGGAUUUACUGGGCGUAAAGGGCGCGUAGGCGGUUCCGUAAGUCCCGCGUGAAAUCCCCCGGCUCAACUGGGGAACUGCGUGGGAAACUGUGGGGCUUGAGUUCGGGAGAGGGAAGCGGAAUUCCGGGUGUAGCGGUGAAAUGCGUAGAUAUCCGGAGGAACACCGGUGGCGAAGGCGGCUUCCUGGACCGACACUGACGCUGAGGCGCGAAAGCUAGGGGAGCAAACGGG